rnacentral:rRNA from 1 species
UAGCCGUAAACGAUACUCGCUAGGUGUCGGCCACGGUGCGACCGUUGUCGGUGCCGUAGGGAAGCCGUGAAGCGAGCCACCUGGGAAGUACGGCCGCAAGGCUGAAACUUAAAGGAAUUGGCGGGGGAGCACCACAACGGGUGGAGCUUGCGGUUUAAUUGGAUUCAACGCCGGAAAUCUUACCGGACCGACAGCAACAUGAAGGCCAGGCUGAAGACUUUGCCGGAUUAGUCUGAGAGGAGGUGCAUGGCGUAGUCGUGU